AUUUGUUCCAGUGACCAGGAUUCUAAGAGCUUGGUCAGAUAUCAAAAAAGCCAGGGUCAUCUACUACAUCUUGGACUGUUGCCAGUCAUCCUGACUUUUAUCUCGUCACUGGAUUUUGAUGGCUCCGGAAGAGAGGGAGGUUGUUGACUUUGUGAAUCUGCCUCACUUAAAUCUUCUGGUGAAGUCUAUGAACCCCUUCUUAGAAUGAAGAUUUGAAGUGAUUGAAGAAAAUGUUAAUUUUCAUUUCAAGUGGGCAACCAGAGUAAAUCCUGGGUAAGGCCACACAGACCAAAGUGGACCAAGGAUAAAAUGACAUCAGUUCUUUGGAAACAACAGGGAAACAACCAUCCAAACAAAUGACCCCUUCCUUAGUAAGUAA
rnacentral:lncRNA from 1 species